UGUCUUCUUUUACUUCUCUCCUCUUUUUCUACUCUUUUUUCUUCAUUUUCUCCUAUCUUCUAGUUUUUUUUUCACUGUUCAUUUGUCUUCCUUUCCCUGUCUGUUUCUUUCUCGCUCUCCUUUUUCUCUCUUCUUUUUCUCUUUUUCUAUCUUUCUCCCCUCUUUAGCUUUCUUCAUCAUCUUCAUCAUCUUCAUCACCAUCGUCAUCAUCAUCAUCAUCAUGAUCAUCAUCUAUCUUCCUAUAUCUUCUCCUCUUUUUUUAUUGUUUUAAAUUACUGUGCUAUAGUCAAAGAGUAACCUGCGCAACAGUAAAUAUCAACAUUCAACACGCGCCAUUUUUAUUGACAUCAAUAUAUGUAUGGGUACAGUGUGAGGUAUACCACCGAUCAAUCCAUUUCAAUGAGACCAGUCAAUAUUUGAUGAUGACGUUAAACUAUGGCUAUGUUGAUAAUGGCAAGAGUUAUGGUGAUAAUGAAGCCGAGUAUCAUUAUCAAUUUUGCAAGAUGCUAAAUGAUGAUGUUGGUUAUAUUAACCAAAAAAAGGAAGCAAAUCAGCAGAUAGACAGGCGCAAAGUACAUUCUCUGAAAUUGCAAGAUGCUUGUUAAUCAGGAUACACUUUUUUGCACAACCUGGUUUUCAUUCAAUUAAACGAUCAAUGUUGUCGAUAUUUUCAUCAUUUAUGGUGAUUUAUCUUUUAAAGUAUGGGUUUACACGACUUGAUCAUCCUUUUGUUCCAACUGUUGGCAGAACAAAACCUGAUACAAAUGAUUCAAACGAUAAACUGGUUAUGUCAAAUCAAUAAAGCAAUCAGAUUAAAAAAAAGCAACCCACAAAGACAACUCUGACAUUAAGGUAGACUCAGUUAUCAAGGGUUGUCUCUAUAUCUGAUAUUUCCUCCAUCAAACAUGGUUUUACUUUUGGACUUAUCAAUAUUUUCUUGGUUAUUACCAUUUUUAUAUCACCGCAAUGUUAUUAUUGUACUAUUUUCACUGAACAAACAACCCGAUAACUCUUUAGUAUUUUUUAAUGAAAGAGCAAGAUAAUAAAGGCAUGGAGUCUUUAUUUUCAGAAUCACCCAACUUUUAUGAACCAGAAAGACUAAGACCCGAUCCAUCCAAGGAAAUCAAUCCUGAUCUAAUAAUUAAAACAACAGGUGUUAGCUUUGAAUUUAAAUUGACUCACUUCAGUGUAACAAUGGACAUUAUAACAGGAAUUGGUAAUUAGAUCGAAUGAAUUAAAAGGAUAUUAAUUUUUCAAAUAUGCAUGCAAUGAAUAAAAUUUAGCAGUUGAUGAACAA